rnacentral:rRNA from 1 species
CAUGCCGCGUGCAGGAAGACUGCCCUAUGGGUUGUAAACUGCUUUUACAGAGGAAGAACCACCCCCACGUGUGAGGGUUUGACGGUACUCUGCGAAUAAGGAUCGGCUAACUCCGUGCCAGCAGCCGCGGUAAUACGGAGGAUCCAAGCGUUAUCCGGAAUCAUUGGGUUUAAAGGGUCCGUAGGCGGGCAGUUAAGUCAGUGGUGAAAGUCUUCCGCUCAACGGGAGAACUGCCAUUGAUACUGAUUGUCUUGAGUUAUUAUGAAGUGGUUAGAAUGAGUAGUGUAGCGGUGAAAUGCAUAGAUAUUACUCAGAAUACCGAUUGCGAAGGCAGAUCACUAAUAAUAUACUGACGCUGAUGGACGAAAGCGUAGGUAGCGAACAGGAUUAGAUACCCUGGUAGUCUACGCCGUAAACGAUGGUUACUAGCUGUUCGGCCCAAUUGAGGGCUGAGUGGUUAAGCGAAAGUGAUAAGUAACCCACCUGGGGAGUACGUUCGCAAGAAUGAAACUCAAAGGAAUUGACGGGGGCCCGCACAAGCGGUGGAGCAUGUGGUUUAAUUCGAUGAUACGCGAGGAACCUUACCAGGGCUUAAAUGUAGUCUGACAGGUCUGGAAACAGACUUUUCUUCGGACAGAUUACAAGGUGCUGCAUGGUUGUCGUCAGCUCGUGCCGUGAGGUGUCAGGUUAAGUCCUAUAACGAGCGCAACCCCUGUGGUUAGUUGCCAGCGAGUAAUGUCGGGAACUCUAGCCAGACUGC